rnacentral:rRNA from 1 species
AGUGAACGCUGGCGGUAGGCCUAACACAUGCAAGUCGAACGGCAGCACAGUAAGAGCUUGCUCUUACGGGUGGCGAGUGGCGGACGGGUGAGGAAUACAUCGGAAUCUACUUUUUCGUGGGGGAUAACGUAGGGAAACUUACGCUAAUACCGCAUACGACCUACGGGUGAAAGCAGUGGAUCUUCUGACCUUGCGCGAUUGAAUGAGCCGAUGUCGGAUUAGCUAGUUGGCGGGGUAAAGGCCAACCAAGGCGACGAUCCGUAGCUGGUCUGAGAGGAUGAUCAGCCACAUUGGAACUGAGACACGGUCAGGAGUCCUACGGGAGGCAGCAGUGGGGAAUAUUGGACAAUGGGCGCAAGCCUGAUACAGCCAUCCCGCGUGGGUGAAGAAGGCCUUCGGGUUGUAAAGACCUUUUGUUGGGAAAGAAAAGCAGCAGGUUAAUACCCCGCUGUUCUGACGGUACCCAAAGAAUAAGCACCGGCUAACUUCGUG